rnacentral:rRNA from 1 species
UACGGAGGGUGCAAGCGUUAUCCGGAUUCACUUGGUUAAAGGGUGCGUAGGUGGGCUAGUAAGUCAGUGGUGAAAUCUCCGGGCUUAACCCGGAAACUGCCAUUGAUACUAUUAGUCUUGAAUACCAUGGAGGUGAGCGGAAUAUGUCAUGUAGCGGUGAAAUGCUUAGAUAUGACAUAGAACACCAAUUGCGAAGGCAGCUCGCUACGCGGUCAUUGACACUGAGGCACGAAAGCGUGGGGAUCAAACAGG